UUCCUACGGGGCGCAGCAGUGAGGAAUAUUGGUCAAUGGUCGGGAGACUGAACCAGCCAAGCCGCGUGAGGGAGGAAGGUACAGAGUAUCGUAAACCUCUUUUGUCAGGGAACAAAGACUGGGACGCGUCCCCGGAUGAGUGUACCUGAAGAAAAAGCAUCGGCUAACUCCGUGCCAGCAGCCGCGGUAAUACGGGGGAUGCGAGCGUUAUCCGGAUUUAUUGGGUUUAAAGGGUGCGCAGGCGGAAGCGCAAGUCAGCGGUAAAAUUGAGAGGCUCAACCUCUUCCCGCCGUUGAAACUGCGUU
rnacentral:rRNA from 1 species